rnacentral:rRNA from 1 species
CCUACGGGUGGCAGCAGUGAGGAAUAUUGGUCAAUGGACGAGAGUCUGAACCAGCCAAGUAGCGUGAAGGAUGACUGCCCUAUGGGUUGUAAACUUCUUUUAUAUGGGAAUAAAAUGUUCCACGUGUGGGAUUUUGUAUGUACCAUAUGAAUAAGGAUCGGCUAACUCCGUGCCAGCAGCCGCGGUAAUACGGAGGAUCCGAGCGUUAUCCGGAUUUAUUGGGUUUAAAGGGAGCGUAGGUGGAUUGUUAAGUCAGUUGUGAAAGUUUGCGGCUCAACCGUAAAAUUGCAGUUGAAACUGGCAGUCUUGAGUACAGUAGAGGUGGGCGGAAUUCGUGGUGUAGCGGUGAAAUGCUUAGAUAUCACGAAGAACUCCGAUUGCGAAGGCAGUUCACUAAACUGCCACUGACACUGAGGCUCGAAAGUGUGGGUAUCAAACAGGAUUAGAUACCCGUGUAGUC